GAAGGUCACGGCGAGACGAGCCGUUUAUCAUUACGAUAUACGAUAGGUGUCAAGUGGAAGUGCAGUGAUGUAUGCAGCUGAGGCAUCCUAACAGACCGGUAGACUUGAAC
rnacentral:rRNA from 1 species